rnacentral:misc_RNA from 1 species
AAAGUCGUAACAAGGUAACCGUAGGUGAACCUGCGGUUGGAUCAUUACUAAAUGAACCGCCAGUUCUCUUUGCUCCGGCAGAGAUUGAGCAGGCAUCAACCCUUUGUGAACUGUAAUUGUACUUGGGUACAUUUUGCCUAGUGUAAAUUGUGCCCGCCUUUAUUAACACCUUAUAUGUUUAUCUGAAUAAUGAUCUAAGAGAAAUAACUUUUGACAAUGGAUCUCUUGGCUCUC